rnacentral:rRNA from 1 species
GACGAACCGUGCGAACGUUGUUCGGAAUUACUGGGCGUAAAGGGCUCGUAGGCGGCCAAUUAAGUCAGACGUGAAAUCCCUCGGCUUAACCGGGGAACUGCGUCUGAUACUGGAUGGCUUGAAUCCGGGAGAGGGAUGCGGAAUUCCAGGUGUAGCGGUGAAAUGCGUAGAUAUCUGGAGGAACACCGGUGGCGAAGGCGGCAUCCUGGACCGGCAUUGACGCUGAGGAGCGAAAGCCAGGGGAGCAAACGGG